rnacentral:lncRNA from 1 species
AUUUUUUUAAACUGGAUACUCUAAUGAUGAUUAUGACCAAGUAUGGUUAAAUUUGGCGUAAUAAUUUCAGAGGAGAAGAUUUUUGUAAACGUUAACCAACGACGAUGGAUGACGACGACGGACGCCAAGUGAUGAGAAAAUAAAAUUGAGAAUGGAAAUGGGGAAUGUGUCAAAGAGACAACAACCCGACCAAAUAAAAAACAACAGCAGAGGGUCAACAACAGGUCUUCAAUGUAGCGAGAAAUUCCCGCACCCGGAGGCGUCCUUCAGCUGGCCCCUAAACAAAUAUAUACUGGUCCAGUGAUAAUGAACGCCAUACUAAUUUCCAAAUUGUACACAAGAAACUAAAAUUAAAAUAAUACAAGAG